rnacentral:rRNA from 1 species
CCCUAACCGUGUAAAGGUAGCAUAAUCAUUUGCCUUUUAAUUGGAGGCUUGUAUGAAUGGUUUGACGAGGGCUAAGCUGUCUCUUUUAAAAUAUUUAGAAAUUAACUUUUAGGUGAAGAGGCCUAAAUUUGGCUGAGGGACAAGAAGACCCUGUUGAGCUUUAGUUUUAUGCUAAAUGGAUUAUUAUGAUAUUUGUAAUAAGCGUGGACCUAGGUGUAAUGGGAUUUUAGUAUGAAUCUUUAGUUGGGGCGACUGAGGAACAGCUAGAGCUUCCUUUGGUUUAGAAGGGCAAGUAGUGUGCCGGAAAAUGGUGUAUUCUUGCAGGUUGUUUUGAUCCAGUAGAAUACUGAUUAAAGGAAAAAGUUACCACAGGGAUAACAGCGUAAUCUUUCUGGAGAGAUCUUAUCGAAAGGAGGGUUUGCGACCUCGAUGUUGGACUAA